UACGGAGGGGGCUAGCGUUGUUCGGAAUUACUGGGCGUAAAGCGCACGUAGGCGGCUUUGUAAGUUAGAGGUGAAAGCCCAGGGCUUAACCCUGGAAUUGCCUUUAAGACUGCAUCGCUAGAAUCGUGGAGAGGUGAGUGGAAUUCCGAGUGCAGAGGUGAAAUUCGUAGAUAUUCGGAAGAACACCAGUGGCGAAGGCGACUCACUGGACACGUAUUGACGCUGAGGUGCGAAAGCGUGGGGAGCAAACAGG
rnacentral:rRNA from 1 species